rfam:Gossypium raimondii Chr04_contig_1282, whole genome shotgun sequence.
GAUUAUAUUUCAUCUAUUUCUAUUAUUAAAAAUUGGCAUGAUUGAUAGCAUAAUUAAACGGUGAUAUGUGACGUGCUAUAUGUACCUCAUGACUAUGUAUAAAGACCGAUUUUUAAUAGUAAAAAUUGAUGAAAAAUUUAAUA